AAACAGAAAGUUAACAAAUAUCCCUGCAGCUGCAAAAUUUACGUGACAUUCCUCACAGCAAUGGCUACACAGCUCUCCUCUCCCACCAGUAUUCCAGCAUCCACCCAGUGCUAGCAUCCCUAUCGCUAAUUCUUUAGUCUCAAGACUAUUUAUACAAUAGCCUCAAAGAGGAUCAAUACGUGAUAUUGCAUAAUUGCAAUCCUACACUAAAAAUGUAUAAUUCUCAUAGACCCUUAUUGGUAAUAUCUUACCAGCCUACAAAUCUACACAGCAUCAAAACAGUUGCACGUUCCUUCUCACAACAUCCUUCCAACAGUCACAUCUCAUUUCUUGUCAAGUUGUUGUAGAGCAUAGCUACGUGCUUCAACAAUUUUGCAGAGAUCUGUGAUAGUCUCAAGCCAUUUUAAGAUUUGUUUAUGUCCUAUCCAGUAGGAAACAACACUAAAUAGAGAACUAUAUGGAAGGCACUCUCAGAGCUGACUGAAUGAAGGUGUUGCCACUUCCAUACAUGAGUCACUUUUUUUUUUUUUUCACAUUGUGGUUUCCUGAAUGCCUCUUAGAAUCCACUGAUUGGACUACAGAUCAAAAACUGUCAGCAGUAACGCUGAGAUUUUUUUUGAAAAAGACAAGAAAAAGAAAUUUAAAGCUGAUAACAAUGCAUGCAUGUUAAGGCCUUUAAAAAUAUUGUAUCUACUCCCAAAACUGGAUUUGUAUUUGAACUCUGCUUUCAGUAAGGAUGAUGUUGAAACAAGGAACCAAAGCAAGAUACAGAUAUGAAAUGGAUACGGCUACCGUGGGUGGAAGAAUUCCAAUUCUCUGGGAAUGAGUCUCAAAGAAAUUAGGAUAUAAUGGGAUCAGGAAAAAAAGUCGUCUUUAUUAAUAAACUUAUUUUUAAAAAGCAAUACUGGUAAAAAUAGAUUUUUUUUUCUACACUAGAGGAAUGUUACCAGCAAGAAGAACAAACUGUAAGAGGGGCAAAAGUUUACAGAUUAUGCAAGAUUACUUAUUACAGCAAUGCUUUAUGCUGGCUGCAAAGUACUGCAGAAGGAGCUACUGAGAACUGCAGAUGAAGUUCAGUGUCAAUAAAAGCACAAUAAUGCACUAUAAGCGCUCAUUUUUCCCAAACAUGUGAGGUUAAUGAUCCCCAAAUUAACUACUGCCAACAAAUCUCUUGGUGUCCUUAUGGAAAAGCAUCUGGAAACAUCAGCUCAGCAGCAGUUUAAAGGUAAACACCACAUCAGAAACUGGAGCAUCAUACAUACACACACAAAAAAAACGAAAGACACAUGCCACUAUAAUCUCCCAUGCAUCAACAUCGUGAAUAUUGCAUAUAGUUCUGGUCAUCUCAUCUCAAAGAGGAUGCAGAACAAGUGAAGGAAGGCAAAAAAGAUGACUGGAGAUGGUGAAAAGCUUCUGUGUGAGAAAGACAAAGCUUUUCAGCUUGGAAGAAAAAAACAGCUAAAUGGUUAAGAUAUGGGAGCGCAUUAAAGAGUCAUGCAUGGUGUGAAAAAGUGAAUGGAGAAGGAACAAUAACUAUGUCUUACAACAGAACAACUCAAGAAAGAAUAAAAAUUACUAUGCAGCAAAUUUAAGAGCAAUCAAGUGUACUUCUUUACAUCAUGCAUACUUAAGUUAUGGGAUUCCUUGCCAAACACAAGAAGUAUAAGCAAUUUUCAAAUCAGAUUUGAUCAAUUCAUACAAGUUCGUAUGCCACUUACUUGUAGUAUACACUGAACUACAAUCAUUGCACUAUUUAUAUAUUGUUUCCUAAAAAUAUCUGCUAGAAGGCAAGACAGAAGAGGACCUUUGGUACAAUUUAGUAUGGUAUUCCUUACAUAAGGGAGAACAAAAAAAACCUCCCCCCCCAAAAAAAAAAGGAUUUCCACAGGUAGCCCAUGCCAUCAAGCAUGGCAUGAGAUUAGUUAACUGGAUAAAACAGCAGUAAGAACGAAAAGAGAUAAGUAAAGGCGAAAGACUAAGAAACAGGGAAGAAACAAUGACUUUGGAAUGGAGUUCAAAUAUUUUUCUUUAGAAAACCUGGCGUAAAAAAGAUUGAUGUAAGCUAAUGAAAUUCUAUUUAGGAAAUUGGAAGACACUAGAUCUGAAUAUUAUCUUCAACGUUCAAUGUUCAUGAACAGAGAAACAGAAACACAAAGUAGUUAAAUAGUUUACAAUUCGCUUAGCCUGGCAAACCAAGAAUGCGGGGGAUGACUAACACUUAUAGAUAGUCAAGUGAUAAAGAAGGAGGAGGAAAGACUGCUCAAGAGGAUUCAGAGGAAAAGCUUCGCAGGAGCAGCAACGGGAACAAAGACUCCUAACUUUGGGACAGAACUUGAUCAACUUACGAGAAAUUGUACGAUGUGGUUGCCUGCCAUAUCAAAGGUCUGAAAAUUAUGAGGAACACUUAAGAUCCUGCCUAGAUUAAAAUCUGCCUCAAAUGACAGCAAAGGGAAGUACAGCUGCAGAGAAGGUCAGUGUCAUUAUCAUCACUUCACAGGAAAGGGAAGUGAGUCUCUACACUCUGAUUCUCCUCAAGGUCUUCCGAUGCAGUUUAAAUCAAAACAGGGAGAGCAAGCAAGACCUCAACCAGCAUUCACAAACUCUGCAAGCAAAAAAAUAGAAAUCAAACAAAUGAACAAAACCCAUGCAGCUUAUCUGUAGCAUGGAUAGGUAGAAAUGAAAGAUAAGUCUGAAAGACUGAUAGGACAUCAAAUAAAAACAUUAAAGCUAUCACUGCAUAACCAUCAGUACAGGAAGCUCUACAGAAAAGAUGAUACAGAUUGUCUGAAAAUAAAAGAUGUGACAUCAGGUUUUUGUUAUAUUGCUCUAUUUCUGUAACAUCUCCUGAAAUACCUAUGGAGCACAUAAUAAUACCCAUUUGAUUUAGUAGGGAGGAUGAGACAAAGGGUCACAGAGAUGGAAGAAUAAUCUGCUCAGAUGACAUGCAGUUACGGCUCACAUAUUUUUACCACCUACACUAGGUAGGCAGUUAGGUACCUGUAUGCAGUGUUGGGGCAACCAGAACUAAUAAAACAAUAAUAGCAAAGUACUUCAAAUAUCCAGGUGACACCAAAACAAGUAGUUUCUAUAUGCCUUAACUGCUUCCUGGAACAUGAGAUUUAGUCAAAAACCAUAUCAAAUGGCAUGUAAAAUGGGCAACUUUCACAUACAACUUCAAGCAAUAUUUAUACCAGAACCAAUACAGUGCCGCAACUCAGAAUGUGAAACUGUUAGGGCUAGUUGGGAAUUUUAAGAAGUCAAAAAUAAAUGCUCAUUUCUAAAGUACAGUAGCAACCUUGACUGUCCUCAGAGCUACGUAUGUCUUAAAAAAACCCACAAAGACAGGAAGAAAAGAAACAGGACAGUAAUGACAAGACUUAAAAGAUUUGAUGACCCUUUUGAAAACAGAAAUGGAAACCUGUAAAAAGAAACAAAUUUAGUAAUUCUGGUCUUUUUAGUCUUAACAUUUACACUUCACAUUUUGUUCUGGAACAGGCAGUGUGAAAGACCAGUAGAUAUGUUGAUUCAUUGAGGUAAAUGAUGAUAUCAAGUAAAAUGACUUUUGGAAGUGAUGCUCAUCAAAAUGAAUUGUUCAUAGUCUCAGAAAUCUGAGAAAUCUUGGAAAUUCAAAGUACACAUGUUCCCAUCUUUACAAGACACCCUGUAGGUAGCAUAGCUCACUGGCAAGUGAGCUUUACUGCAGUACAGGGCAAGAGAUUGUAAGCAGAAACAUGAAAAAGAUACAUGAAUGUGAAUAGAAAUAAACCAGACAGGUGCUGUAAAAGUACAUUAACCAACUAAAUUAAUAGGAAAAUAUCAACGGAACAGAUGCUAUAGUAGAACAAGUUAAUUAUCUUUUCAUGCACCUGAAACUAAGCACUUAGCACUGUUCUGUCUGCUAUCCAGUUUAACACUACAGAAGGUAACGGUGUCUCUGUGUUACAAAGACCAGCUCUGCUGCUGCUCUUAAAUUCUACACCCCUAUUGUUGGAUAAAAAUAGUAAGGGUGUAAGGAUUUGUGGGGGGAAAAAAAAAGUUAGUUAAGAUUAAAGACAACUACAAGGAUCAGUACAACCCCCAGUAUAGUUUUAAUAUUUAAAUCCACACCACGGUCCAUGAUCUGGCAAAGUAAUUGCUAUGAAGAGGACACUAUCAUGCAGGUAAACGUGUCUAAGAGAAGACCUGAAAACCCACUUUAUCAUUAGGAUCACAGCUGUCUUCUAUAAAGUGGGGGAAAAAAAUGCCUCUUCUAUCAAUCAAAAGAAGUUUAAAAGGAUGGAAUGUGCUUAACUUAAGAAUGCACUUAAGUUAACCUUAAGAAUUCAGGAAAGAAAUAUGUGCAGCAGUGUGCAGAGCUCGAAGACACCCAGCCAAAGUACACUGGUCCAAAAGAGCACACCAUGUUAGCAAGCAUAAAGGAACUGAAUGAAAGACUAGGAAAAGCGAUGUGACUAAUAGCUACACGCACACUCGCGACAGAUUGUCCAGCCUGAUUUCCACCCCUUCUUCCCCAUCACGGGGCAGAAGAACCGCAGCAGCCCUACUGACAGCAAAGAACUCCAAGGUGACGUUCCCCCACCAAAAAAAAUUAUUUUGGAACUAUCUUAUUUCUGCCACAUUCACUCUUGUUCGAGUCUCCAGUUAGAAAUUACACAGCUAAAGGAGAGGAGGGGGAUCAAAACCAGGCUCGCCACUUAGCCCUGUGACACGGAGAAGGGGGCAAGAUGCCACUGCCUCCCACAGAAACCGCUGUGCAUUGACCCGCGGCUCCCAGCCGGGGUGCGAGCCCAGCUCCCGACUCCAGCAAGGCCCCCGCCGCCAUCAGGACCCCCCCGGGCCACUGGGAUCAUCCCCCCCACACACACACAGUGCGGAGGACAAGGGGCCGGGGAGGCCACGGGACGGGGGGGCCACGAACCGGGCCGCCCGCCGCGGGGCUCCCCAAAUCGCCCGGCCGAGCACCGGAGAGCCGCAGCGGCGGUGCGCAGAGGGGGAGGCCGGUGCCCGCCGGUUGCCCAAGCGGAGGGUGCCGCUGGCAGCCGCCGGCUCCCGGGGCGCCCCCGCUCCGCCGCCGCCGUGACCUUCACUCCCGCCCCCACCGGCGCCUCGGCCCUCACACAGCGCUCCCCCCUCCCUCUUCGCGGCCCGACGCCGGCCGCAGUGCAGGGUAUGGCCGGGCCGGUCUCCGCGGCUGGUCACCGCGUCAGGCCCGGGCGAGCGCCGCCGGGAGCGGACGAGGGUGACCGGGAGACAGUCGGAGCGGUGAAGGGGGCCGGAGGUUCGAGGGGGGAGAGCUCCGCAUACUCACUAUUCCUUGAUGAGCACCAUGGCGGCGGCGCCGCGCACCUCCCGCCCGGGCCGGCCCUGUGAAGCACUACCGAGCAGCAGCCACCCAAGCUGUACUUGGCAUUAAGAACAACCCCAGAUAUUUAUGAGAAGACAAUUGCAAAAACCCCUUUUGCAUGACCUGUACUCAAUAAAAAAACAGCUAAAGAGCGCUCGUUUUACUACUUUGUCACUGGAAUGACAGAGCAAGGAUUGUCUUUAUUUAAUUGGAAAAAUAAACCACCAUACAUUCAGCAUCACCAAGCUCAAGCAUGGAUAACCGAGAUGUGCGGCUUUCCUAUUGACACCCUGCAUCUCUUCUGUAGCAUUCCUGUCUAAGGCCACAGUUGUUCAUCUUUCACUAUUUGAUACCAGUUCACCCUGUAUAACUGAGCUUGAUCUCUUUCUCAACCUGCUAUGUUAUUUUUUAAAAUUUAUUUUUCCUCCAAUAGAGAUUGACACCUGGCUGUUAGCUCCUAACCUAGAGAAGAAAAAGUCAAGGAAACAUUCAACAUGCAUCACGCCCUUUGGCAGAUGACACCAUGUAAAGCAUUCAUGCUUACAUCAUCUCAUUAGGAACCAAGCAAUACCUUUAUUAUGUUCAGCCUCAAAAGGAAAACUAAUGAUUAACUUAUUACCACAUUUAUUUUUAGAUAGUACUGCAAGAAUGCACAUCACCAUACAAACACAGAAAAGAUGACACAGGCCUGCCCCAAGGAACUUACAAUUCAAGUUUGACAAAUACUUUGAAAAAAAAAAAAAUUCAGUGAACAGGAGAAGGUAGGGGAGGCUAAUGCUAUCAGGUUAAAAAGGGGGGGGCUUUCUGGAAAAAAGAAGGUUGUCCCAGGAAUAAAAAGUGAGUGACAGAGGGCCAGGCCCAAGGAAGUGACAAGCACAAGGAUGACAACACGGAGGACAGGACACUUGAUAAAAACAGACUGCGCAGAGACAGGCUGAGCAGCACAGGUAGAAAAACAACGACCUGUAGGGUUUAUAAUUAACAUGUAAGAAUGCAUCUACAUAACACAUCAUUGUUUCAGCUAUUCCACAGAAGAUAACAUUGUGAAAUAUAAGCCAGGAGUGGCUUUUAAAUUAAAAAAAAAACCAAACAACCCCAAACAAACAGUCCCUUUCCAUCAGGAAUCCUACUGUAAUACUAGUUUCCAUUAUGACUACUUUGCACUUCUGAGCUGGGAAGCAGGGAAUACCAAAAGCUCUGCAGAUGCAGAAAAGACUCAAAGAAAAAAAAAAAAAACACAAACAAAAAGCCCCCACACCAUCAAAACUUGUAGUUUUCAAGAUUUCAUUUUUUUUACCCUACAGUAUCUACUGUAUAUUUUGUAGCAUAUUUUCCAAAUUCAUCAGCCUGUCAAGAGGGAAAUCUCCUACUUUAAAACAUUUCAGUGAUUUACUGACUUAGUUAAAAUCUCAUUAUCCUACAAUUUUCCUUUGUAGCCCAGGCAUAGUUGCGGGAGUUAAACAUUUCUGUGGCUGUGGCAGCAUUGCAGUUAAGUUGGAGUCUUGGCAAGAUUUGCUGGUUUGUUUUUUGGUUUGUUUUUUUUUUUUCAGACGUCUGCGUCCAGUUUCAUCUCAAGGAUCCAGAUACUCUAGGACAGUAACUGAAUAAAGUUAUAAGCAUCUAUUAAGCAAAACAGCACCAAUGUUUUCUGCUACUCUUGAUAGCAUCAUUGCAUUAGUGUUUUAAAGAAUGGGUCGAUGGGGCUUAGGUACUGACAGAUCAGUGAAAGGAAAAAGCUGUCAUCCCGCUCUUCCCCACUCUUUUUUUUUUUUUUUUUUUUUAGAACACAGAUGCAUAUUAAAUGCAUGUGAGAGUCUGUAGAGGCCAGGAGCAGUGUUUCCAGAAGGUGCAAUCACUUUUACACAGCAACACCCUUAACCGAGAGCUCCUACAAGCAGCGAGUACUCACAGAUCAGGUUUCUGCUUAAUUACAUUCAGUUGGGGAUGCUUUUCUAUGGAGAUGAGACCUUUCCCAUGACCACCCUCCUUGCACUUCUCAUAUGGAUGAGAGUAAGGGGGUACAAGGGGCAUAAAACCCCCCUACAAAUUCUAGCAUUUAGGAAUUAUGAGAGUAGUUAAGCAUAUUGACCUAUUGCAUUUGAGUUAUACAGGUUUGCAUUAUUGAUUUAAAUUGUGCCUCUCUAGUCUUUGGCAGCCCAUUUAUUUUUUUCCACAAGGUGGCUCAUGCACAUAGAAGAGCGCAUCAGGAAUUUUCUUGGUCCUGCAUCACUUGGCUAGAAAGCGGCGAUGCUGUCUUCCAUUCCAAACAUAAGUAAUCCACAAUUACAUUUCCAUAAGCAGCAAAGAACGUGGCAAACUGCCCAUGAACAGUCAUGUGUAACAGGACCAUCCCAACAGCCUUUGUUUCUGCACCAUGCAAGAGAACAUUUAGAAGAGGCUGAAGCCAGAAUAUUCUGUGCUCCAAGGGGCUCACCCCUGCAGGAGGUGCCGCAUUGAAGCGGUUAUGCCACAAUCAGUAGAGUAUUUGCACAUCUUGCAUACAGAUACAGUUUGGGUUUUUUGAUAGAUAAAUUUGAGACUGCUUUUAAAAUUAGUUUGGUUCACAACUGUCAGAGUAAAUUAAACCCCAUGAGAUCAGACCAGUGUUUCACCUAGCCCAGCAAUAUAUUUUCUCCAUCUUGGACCAAUUCUUAAGAGACAGAGCAUGUAGAAAAAGUAAUCUUUCCUUGGCAUAACUUUCUUAUUUACAGCAACUUAAAAUCUCCCUGAGUUAGCAGAUGCAUCAGACCAUUGUUUAACCAGCCCCUUUUAAAGAGGGAACAAAGUUACACUUCUGUUCCUCACUAUGUCCUGCAGCAGUGGAUUCCACUGUUUUGACUUCACACUGCAUGAGAAAGCACUUCCAUUUGUCUGUUCAACUCCCAACAACUAAAACUUCAUUGUGUACUCCUAGUCCUGGUGACUGCAAGCCAAAGGCAUGCUUUACUUUCAAGCUGCAGAGCCUGAAACUGUGACUUGAAGGCAUGAGCUCUAUUCCUCACGGCUGACCAGCAGCUUCUAGACACCAUGGCACAUCAGCAGAGACACCAACUGCCUACAUCCAGCAUUUUUUUAGAUGAAGCUGGGUUAGAGGAUAUUCCCAAUAAAGAGCAGGAACUGGGAACUGCAGUAGGGAGGUAGACAGCAGGAAUAAAAGGUUCUUUAAUUUAGUUGCACAUACUUCAAGAAGCAGCAGCAUCUCCACAGCAACUUCAUAAAAAUAUGCCACUGUGUUCCACCAUUUUGCAAAGACAUUUACAUCAGAAAUUCACGUGACAUAAGACUGAAAACUAUCAUGUUCAGUGUUCUGAAACUGAGGUGGAAGUAAUGCUGAGUUCACACACGGACACCCUCCAACAGCUGUCUCUGUUUUAAGACAGAGUCUGAGGACUGUGGCUCAGACACUCACCUGUCUGAGCUCUUACUAAAAAAAAUAAA